UACGUAGGGGGCAAGCGUUGUCCGGAUUUAUUGGGCGUAAAGAGCGUGUAGGCGGCCUGACAAGUCUGCUGUGAAAACUCGAGGCUCAACCUCGAGAUGUCGGCGGAAACUGUCUGGCUAGAGUCCGGAAGAGGAGAGUGGAAUUCCUGGUGUAGCGGUGAAAUGCGCAGAUAUCAGGAAGAACACCUAUGGCGAAGGCAGCUCUCUGGGACGGUACUGACGCUGAGACGCGAAAGCGUGGGGAGCGAACGGG
rnacentral:rRNA from 1 species